GAAAUGCGAUAAGUAAUGUGAAUUGCAGAAUUCCGUGAAUCAUCGAAUCUUUGAACUCACAUUGCGCCCUCUGGUAUUCCGGGGGGCAUGCCUGUCCGAGCGUCAUUGCGAACCCCUCAAGCACGGCUUGUGUGAUGGGCCCUCCCGCGUCUUGGUCGUCAAGACGGGCCCGAAAUGCAGUGGCGGCUUCGCGGUUAUCCGAUCAGCCAGAGCGUAUGGGGACUUUCUCUCUGUCACACGCCCGCGGCGCGGACCGACGCCUGUCGACCUUCAUUCAUCGUUUUCUCGGUUGACCUCGGAUCAGGUAGGGAUACCCGCUGAACUUAAGC
rnacentral:misc_RNA from 1 species